rnacentral:rRNA from 1 species
UAGGGAAUCUUCGGCAAUGGGGGCAACCCUGACCGAGCAACGCCGCGUGAGUGAAGAAGGUUUUCGGAUCGUAAAGCUCUGUUGUAAGAGAAGAACGUGUGUGAGAGUGGAAAGUUCACACAGUGACGGUAACUUACCAGAAAGGGACUGCUAACUACGUGCCAG